CCUGGGGAUUGCGGCCAUUCUAUUUAUUAUUCUACUUUCUUUCAUUUACAUCAAGAAACGUCAUAGAAGCAGGAAACCACCGAGAACAAUUCAUCAAACAACCAGUGAAGAGCCCGAACUCGAGUUACAUACAGUAUACUGCAAUCUAAAGAACCCAGAGGAGAACAGACCCAGGACAAUUUAAUAUGGGAUUACU